GAUGAACGCUGGCGGCGUGCCUAAUACAUGCAAGUCGAGCGAAUGGAUUAAGAGCUUGCUCUUAUGAAGUUAGCGGCGGACGGGUGAGUAACACGUGGGUAACCUGCCCAUAAGACUGGGAUAACUCCGGGAAACCGGGGCUAAUACCGGAUAAUAUUUUGAACUGCAUGGUUCAAAAUUGAAAGGCGGCUUCGGCUGUCACUUAUGGAUGGACCCGCGUCGAAUUAGCUAGUUGGUGGGGUAACGGCUCACCAAGGCAACGAUGCGUAGCCGACCCGAGAGGGUGAUCGGCCACACUGGGACGGAGACACGGCCCAGACUCCUACGGGAGGCAGCAGUAGGGAAUCUUCCGCAAGGGACGAAAGUCUGACGGAGCAACGCCGCGUGAGUGAUGAAGGCUUUCGGGUCGUAAAACUCUGUUGUUAGGGAAGAACAAGUGCUAGUUGAAUAAGCUGGCACCUUGACGGUACCUAACCAGAAAGCCACGGCUAACUACGUGCCAGCCGCCGCCGUAA
rnacentral:rRNA from 1 species